rnacentral:rRNA from 1 species
UACGUAGGGGGCUAGCGUUGUCCGGAAUCAUUGGGCGUAAAGCGCGCGUAGGCGGCCCGGUAAGUCCGCUCUGAAAGUCCAGGGCUCAACCCUGGAAAGCGGGUGGAUACUGCCGGGCUAGAAUCCGGAAGAGGCGAGUGGAAUUCCUGGUGUAGCGGUGAAAUGCGUAGAGAUCGGGAGGAACAUCAGUGGCGAAGGCGGUCACCUGGCCUAAAACUGACGCUGAAGCUCGAAAGCGUGGGGAGCAAACAGG